rnacentral:lncRNA from 1 species
UUAACUUUGUUACUUUCUUCGUCGUGUUUCUUCGCAUUUUAUUGUGUUGUGUUUUCCAAGACUGGCUAACCCAAUUCUCUAAUAUCGUAAUGUCAAUUGUUAAGGGGAUCUUUGAUCUUUAACCGAAGGUACUCUCUCCUCCGCAGAAGCUCUACCAACUCACUUCGAUCGAACGUUGCCCUUGAGAUUGUCGGUCUUCUCUUUUCGGCUUGCGUGUUCAUAUGGUUGCGGAGACGGUCCGAUCAUGAUCGCGUGCCACGAAAUUCUCGAUUAUCCAGCUCCGAUCACCUGUCGUGAGCAAAAGUUCGGUAAUACCUUUUUCGAUCCUUUCGAAAUCGAGGGGUAUCAGGUCAUUUUACGGUGGUUCGGUUCUAGCUGUCGCGUUUUACCUCAUUUUUGUAAUCUCGUGCUUGAACCAUGGCUUGAAUCGCGAGGGAAUCCGGUGACGUGAGCCGUGGGGAUGUGUAAAUUUGGGUUUUUGGAUGUGAGGAGUUGGUUCUUUUUCCGUAUCCUGGCUUUAUUUUUCUCCCCGCCUCCCUUUCAUUGAUUGUCUCGUGCGUCGUAAGAAGUUUUUCCUCCUACUGGGUUGGUGAUCACUGAGCUGAGGUCGGUUGAUCCUGAUUUUACUGCGAGGAUGGCGAUUAUAAACAGUGCCGGUACUUUAUCGGUCAUAGAAGUUGCUAUUUAGAACCCUUUAUCUUGUUGUUUUCGUCUUUCUCCUAGGCUACAUGCUAGAGCUUUGCUGUUAUGAAUACUUAAGAAGCUACACCAUCAGUUACAAGAUCCUUGCUCUCUCUCUCUCUCUCUCUCUCUGGCUCUGUCUUUGUGCUGUAGUCAGGGUGGGGGAUUACUGAUACUGGGAAGGUUUCUACGUGGGGAGGAUUUAACAUCACAAUAGGAUUACUUUACGUGAUGAUCAUUUCAGAUGCCAUGGAACGUUUAAACUGAAGAUUGAUGGCAAAAAUGAAAAUGCGUCGAUUAACACAACCAGUACUAUUCAUUCUAAUUUUCUUCAUCUAACAUUCCUUUCCGGUGUCUCUAUGGAAAAUCAGUGGCGACGAUGAUCAAUAAAUUACUCAAAUAGAAAGCUAGUUGCUAAGGCUUUAAACUAUCAUGUUAACUCCAGGAGGCCUUCCAAUUAGCAGCACCUAUUGCACAUAAAGAAUGCCCGCUCCUGAUUUUUUCUGAACAUCUGCUGGUUUAUUUCUUCUAAGAUGGACAUUUUUUUUUUCCAAUUUGAUACUCAAAUAGCAAGCCCUUUUCUUAGGCUUGAGAGCAUAUUAACAUCUUGACAUAGGCCAACAAAUAUAAGUACCUGCCCAGCGC